GCCUGGGUGGCCCAGUCAAUUGAGCGUCUGACUUCAGCUCAGGUCGUGAUCUCAUGGUUGGUGGGUUCAAGUCCCAUGUCGGGCU
rnacentral:tRNA from 1 species